rnacentral:lncRNA from 1 species
GUAGCUGAACAUCUUACGGAUGGCCCAGGGCUCCAAAGGCUCGUUUCCUAAGUGAGAGAGAGCCUGGCUGAAGCUGUAUUACCAUUCAUUCUCCAGCCUCCGAAGUCUCAAAGCAUCACUUCCACCAUACUCUAACUGUCAAGACAAACACAAAGGCCCAGAGAAGGGGUCUCACUAUGUUGUCUGGAGUGCUGUGGUGGAGUGGAGUGGCUAUUCACAGAGCCUGUUCUGCUGGGACACAGAAUCACUUGCUCCAUCUCAUACAUUGAUGAUGAUUAAUUUGUAUGUGUACCUUCCAAAAAAGAUGGUUGUGUUUGAAUGGAGGCCUUCUGGACAGGAAAAUUGCAAAGUACAAUUAACAUUUGAGUCUGUCUGAGUCAUGAAGAAAUGGAGAUUACUGAAAAUAAUUCAUUUUGGUAUCUUCUUACAUCCUGAGAGACUAAUCUUUCCAAGUUCAUCUGAGGCUCCUCUUCUCCAUGACAACCUCAUCCAGGGAUUUCUUCCUGUCCUGGUGUUUUAUGACAUGUGGAAGGGGACUGUAGCAGGUGAUCUCCAAAGUCUCUGGAGACUUACUAAUGUGCAUCCUCAUCUCGCUUGUAAGGAUAAUAGCCUUCCUCCAAACCUCACACACUUUUGGAGGAGAUCACUUUUUUUAAAGUGCAUGGAAAUGUUUUGAAACAGUGAAAUCUAUAAUGAUAGGUUUCAUAAUUCUAACAUCCACACCAUAUGAAUCACAUCCUUCCUGAGAUAAUGAGCACACAAUUGCCUGGAUACCUGAAGGAAUGGAGACAGCGGCAGAAAACACUGCAGAGAGGUGGAAACAUCCGUUAAUAUUUUAAAAUCCCAUUACUGCUACCAACAAUAAUAAUGGAUGCAUAGAAAUAGAUCUGGAUUAGCUGAGCUUGAAACAGUCCAUCUCACACACACACAAAAGAAUUUCAGGUAAUGAAGAAAAGAAAAGGAAAAAAAUAA